GUUUCAGUAUAAUCAAUUUACCAAUUAGAUAACACUGAAACUACAUGUCACUUAACCUUCUGAAGUAGUUUUAUCAUUACAACCCCAUGUUGCUGACUGAGUCGGAUUUUUUAUGUUGAUUUGUGACUCAAUGCCGUCUUGAAUAAUGCUGCUUGUUAGGUUUCUUGGUGUUUGCCUAAUUCUAUUCUUAAGCAUCCUGAGGCUUGUUGCUGUAAACAAACUUAUGUAUUGAUUUGUUUUUUUUAAACCAAUUAUAUAGUAAUAUACGUUUUUCUGUUUACUCACAACCAACAUCUCUAUGUAGUCUGUUCUUCUUUGUUGGAGAAAUUUAAAGUCUGAGUUCAUUGUCUGCAUUAAAUGAAAGUGACACUAUAAAUCUUCAAAGCAAUGCACUAAUCUAUACUAUAAUUGCAGGGACAGUAAAAUGUAGAAUACUGUCUAAUAUAGUGACCGAGUAAGAGAGUACAAUUACCCUGUAUGCGAGUUCUUCUUUAGGCUUAGCUCCUCACUGGUCAUCUUCUCAACCUUGAUACUUUUGACAUGGCAUAUCUUUGAUGUCGAGGUGUUGUAUGGAAUGUCAACAAUGUCAUCAACUGUUCGCUUUGAAGGAGUUGUCAUCUUGCUAGAGCUUUCAUCACUGUGUGGAGCACUUUGGCUUCAAUCAACCAAGCUGUCUUCCAUGGCCGAAUCUCAUCAAGAUAAGGAAGUUACAUGAUCGGUUGUAUUCCAUAUUGUUAUGUAAUGAUCUUUUGCAAAAAAAAUUCACAUAUCUUUA